rnacentral:rRNA from 1 species
AACGAACGCUGGCGGCAUGCCUAACACAUGCAGGUCGAACGAGACCUUCGGGUCUAGUGGCGCACGGGUGCGUAACGCGUGGGAACCUGCCCUUAGGUUCGGAAUAACUCCCCGAAAGGGGUGCUAAUACCGGAUAAUGUCUUCGGACCAAAGAUUUAUCGCCUUUGGAUGGGCCCGCGUUGGAUUAGCUAGUUGGUAGGGUAAAAGCCUACCAAGGCGACGAUCCAUAGCUGGUCUGAGAGGAUGAUCAGCCACACUGGGACUGAGACACGGCCCAGACUCCUACGGGAGGCAGCAGUGGGGAAUAUUGGACAAUGGGCGAAAGCCUGAUCCAGCAAUGCCGCGUGAGUGAUGAAGGCCUUAGGGUUGUAAAGCUCUUUUACCCGGGAUGAUAAUGACAGUACUGGGAGAAUAAGCGCCGGCUAACUCCGUG